CCUACGGGUGGCUGCAGUGGGGAAUAUUGCGCAAUGGGGGAAACCCUGAUGCAGCGACGCCGCGUGAGCGAGGAAGUAUUUCGGUAUGUAAAGCUCUAUCAGCAGGGACGAAAGAGGAAGGUGACGGUAUAUGAAGACCCGGCUAACUCCGACCCAGCAGCCGCGGGAAGAGUUAGGGGGAAAGAGUUAGCCGGAUUUAGUGGGUGUAAACGGAGCGUAGACGGCAAGGCAAGCCUGAGGUGAAAGGGGAGGGGUCAAACCUGUAAAUGCUUUUGGAACUGUGGUGCUAGAGUGCAGGAGAGGCAAGUGGAACUACUAGUGUAGCGGUGAAAUGCGUAGAUAUUAGGAGGAACACCAGUGGCGAAGGCGGCUUACUGGACUGUAACUGACGUUGAGGCUCGAAAGCGUGGGGAGCAAACAGGAUUAGAUACCCGAGUAGUC
rnacentral:rRNA from 1 species